UUCCUGGGCCUUGUACACACCGCCCGUCAAGCCACGAAAGCCGGCAGUACCCGAAGUCGCGUACCCAACCGCAAGGAGGGAAGCGCCCACGGUAAGGCCGGUGAUUGGGACU
rnacentral:rRNA from 1 species